rnacentral:rRNA from 1 species
GAUGAACGCUGGCGGCGUGCCUAAUACAUGCAAGUCGAACGCUGGAAAUCUAGCUUGCUAGAUUGAAGGAGUGGCGAACGGGUGAGUAAUACAUAAGCAACCUACCCACGAAGACUGGGAUAAUCUCUGGAAACGGGGACUAAUACCGGAUAGGUAAUCGGAAGGCAUCUUCUGAUUAUUAAAGGUUAAAAACACUGGUGGAUGGGCUUAUGGCGCAUUAGUUAGUUGGUGAGGUAACGGCCCACCAAGACGAUGAUGCGUAGCCGGCCUGAGAGGGUGAACGGCCACAUUGGGACUGAGACACAGCCCAGACUCCUACGGGAGGCAGCAGUAGGGAAUUUUCGGCAAUGGGGGAAACCCUGACCGAGCAACGCCGCGUGAGUGAUGACGGCCUUCGGGUUGUAAAGCUCUGUUGUAAGGGAAGAACGGUAGAUAGAGAAUAUCUAAAUGACGGUACCUUACCAGAAAGCCACGGCUAACUACGUG